rnacentral:rRNA from 1 species
UACGUAGGGUGCGAGCGUUGUCCGGAAUUAUUGGGCGUAAAGAGCUCGUAGGCGGUUUGUCACGUCUGCUGUGAAAUCCCGAGGCUCAACCUCGGGCCUGCAGUGGGUACGGGCGAGACUGGAGUGCGGUAGGGGAGAAUGGAAUUCCUGGUGUAGCGGUGGAAUGCGCAGAUAUCAGGAGGAACACCGAUGGCGAAGGC